ensembl:lncRNA
GUGACCUGGGAGGGAGUGUAGCCGGAGUUGCGGCCCUGAGAGGCGGUGAGGCUGUGCAGUCCGGGUUCUGCUGAGCUUUCUCCCCACUUCCUUUUCGCUGCCCAGUUUUCCUGUCCUUGAUGUCCCGGGCCUGGCGUGUCUUGGACGGAAACUCGGUGAGGAGAAAGAGAACGGGGCUGCGAAUUCUGUUCAGACUAAUCUUUUACUCCAUUGCUGUUGGCAACUUCUGGUGAAACCUGAGGGAAAGGAGCCUGCAGAAGGACCCUCCAGAAAGGCAUCUUCUGUUUACUGCUGGCAUCCACGAAACAGUAACAGGCCCCAGACUCUUCACAGAUCCUGAAACCACUCACCUGCCUAAGACUGACAACGUUGGCACAAUUUCGACCUCCCUGUGCCUUUCUUCCCGGGGAAGGAAGCUGAGAGGGGAUGAAUCAAGUAACAUAAUAAACUUCUGAGAAGAAAAGAAGCUUCAUAUCAAGACUUGGAAAGAAGUGCAAAUCUCUUAGUGAAGAAACUGCCAAGAAAAUUACUGCUCACCUAGCUCAAAGAGAAACAUUAAUUAAAGGUAAGACAUGGGCAAGAAGUAAAAUGGAGCUUGUAUGAGUUAAUUCUAUCAUAAUUAACAUUUAUAAUUCCUCUCAAUUUCAGAGGAUGACUGUGUUUUUGCAGAAACCCUUGAAUUAUUUAAUGUAUUUCUAAAGAAAACUUUCGAAAUCCCUGGAGAUGAAUUUUUACCUUUCUAUAAAGACUCUUUCCACCCCCAUUCAGAGUCUCCGUACAAGUUUAUAUGAUAGAACUUUGGUCUAAGAAAAUGGGAAUGGAUUUAGGUAAACCUGAGAUUAUUCUACUUAUUUAUAAUGACAUCAGUGGGCAGGGGGGAUGGUCUCUGUUAUGGAAAAAUAUUCUAUAUGUGUGAUUAUGUGGUUUCCAGAAUUAUGCACUCUGAAUUUUUGAUUUUAUAUUCAUUUAAUCUUUCUUAAUUUAAUCAUUUGCAGUGAGGAAAAACAGCUCUCUGGUAAUUGUUUUAAAAUCAUGGCAAGCAUAGGCUCCACUGUAUAUACAAAAUUGUGUAUGUAUGUUUGAAUGGAAGAGUAAACAUUGCCAGGGUAGGGAUGAAACAGGUACUGUAAUACAGUAUAUUCUUCUUGGUUCUCCUGAUUAAACACAUCUGUAUUCUGUUACUCAUGGCUACAACUACAUGGAAUGCAUUAUAGAAAUAGAAUCACAUGCUCAUCCUGCCACAAGUACAAGAACAUUUACAGUUUGUGUUGAAGAGAAGAAAUACAUGGAACUAGGAAGACAUCUCUGACUAUGGUUACUUGGAUUUCUUCUGAAUACCUUAUAAGAGGGGGAUGUUUCCCAGCUCUGUGCCAGGUAUUUAAGACCUGGAGUAAGGACAAAAUAAAGAGACUGAAUCUUGGUUUCCCCCGCACUAAAAAUAUUCUGUUUCAGCUUCCCAGCCCAGAGUACAGGGAAGAAACCAAAAUUUCCACUAUAACAGCAAAACUAAUAAUCUCCUGUGGGGUGUGGGAGGACGAGGAUCUUCAUUGCUCCUUCCUACAUGCUCCUUCAUGAAUAUAAUCACUGGCCCUAUGGAUUUGCUGGAUAAGACAACCAAAAAUAAGCUCAUUACAGAAAUAAACUUAGCAAUUUUAUGGAAAAGGGCAAAAAACAUGAGUUCAUAUACACCCAGAAAGCCAAUGGCUUUUAAACACAUGAAAAUAAACUAGAUUUCUCCAUUAAAGCAAAUAAGACAAAACCACACAGAGUUACCAUUUUCAUGUGGCAGGUCAAGUAAAACCCAGAUGUUUUAUGGUUCAUUGGAUAGAUGAGGGUGAAGGCACUAUUGUUGUUGGGAAUCAAAACCGGUAAAAUUCUUUGGAAGUCUGCUUGGAAAUAUCUACCAAAUGUGAUAUGAUUUUAGGAAAAUUAGUACUGCACAAAUAUCUCUAGGACAUUUCAUACAGAUAUAAUCACCUUAAUGUAUAAAAUCAUAUGUAUGAUGAUACAGAUCUUCUUUGAUUUACCUCCCACUAAACCCAUCAUAAAAUAAAAAUAUUAUAGAUUGAAAAUGUUUUUAAUACACUUAAACUACUGAACAUCAUAGCUUAACCUAGCCUAACUUAAUUGUGCUCAGAACAUUUACAUUAGCCUGCAGUUGGGCAAAAUCAUCUAACACAAAGACUAUUUUAUAAUAAACUGUUGAAUAUCUCAUGUAGUUUAGUGAAUACUAUACUGAAGGUGAAAAAUAAUGGUUGUAUAGGUAUAGAAUGGUUCUGAGUGUAUCACAUGUUUACCCUCAUGAUCUGGCUGACUGGCAUGGUGGCUUGAUGUCAUUGCCCAGCAUCACAAGAGAGAAUCCUACUACAUAUUGCUAACCUGGGAAAAGAUCAAAAUUCAAAAUUUAAAGUAUAGUUUUAUAAAUGUGUAUUGUGUUAGCACCAUAGUAAAACUGAAUAAUUGUAAGUUGAGAACUAUCUGUAUUCAUUACAAAAACUUACAAAACAAACUGAAUUCUAUUUGUAAGAAUAAAAGAAUGUAGACAAUCUAAACAUCUGACAACAGUAGAAUGCUUAAAUAAAUUCUUUUACAUAGAAUAUCAAGCAGGCAUUAAAAAAGAGGAAGUUUCUGGUAUGAACCAAUUUCCAAGAUACUUUGUUAAAUGAAAAAAAGUAGAUACACAAGAGUACAGAUAUUCUGCCACCUCCCACCAUUCAUCCUAGCCUUUCUCUCCUCCAGGUUGGCCAAGCUCAUUUGGAGGCUCAAGGCCUUUGUACUUGCUAACACUUAGUCUGUAAUGUCUUACUGAUUACUCCUUCUUAGACCAAACUUCUAGGUGCCAUAUAUUUUUGAAAGAAUUAGAGAUUAGAGACAAGUUGGCAGAGUAGAGGAACUCAAGCACACCUCCUACCACAAAAUACACCAAAAUUACAACUAACUGCUGAACAGCCAUCAGCAAAAUAGAUUGGAAGCUAUCAAAAAAAGAUAUCCUACACCCAAAGACAAAUAAAAGCCACACCUAGGUGACAGGAGGAGCACUUUGGCAAUAUAAGCAAUCCCAUAUCUGUCAGGAGGGCAGCCCAUAGCCUGAAAAAUAACUAUAUAUUGUAGGGCUCUCCAACAAGACUGAGGAUUCUGAGCCUUGCAUAAGGUUUCCAAGUCUGGGAAUCUGGCACUGGGAGGAGGAACUCCUGGAGCAUUUGGCAUUGAAGGCCAAUGGGGCUUGAGUGCAGGAAUUUCACAGUACUGGGGGAAACAGAAAUGCCACUCUUAGAGUUGUGCAUACAGGGUUUCACAUGCACUGGGUCCCAGGGCAAAGGAGGGACUCCAUAAAAACCUGCAUCAGAACUACCUGCAGGUUUUGGAGAGUCUCCUAGGAAAGCAUGGGGUGGCUUUGGCUGGCUUGCUGUGGGGAUAUGGAGGACAUUCUCAGAGAAUAAUCAUCACUGUGAGCUCCCCUGGAGGUUUCCAUUUUGGAAAAAUCUGGCCCCACCCAUUAAGGCUGAGAAUCCCCAGGUCAAACAACAAACAAGAUAGAAACACAACCCCACUCAUUAGCAAACAGGCUGCCUAAAGUCCUUAUAGGCACAGAAUCACCUCUAAUCAUACCCAGAGACAAAGCCCUACCCACCAGAGCGCUACCUACCAGUGGGCAGGCGCCAGUCCUUCACAUCAGGAAGCCUGCCACAAGCCCUUGUAUCAGCUUUACCCACAAGAGGGCAGGUGUCAGAAGCAAGAGAGGCUAUAACCCUAUAGUGUGCAAAAAGGAGACUGCACAAAAAGCUAGACAAAAUAAAAGUAAGAGAAAUAUGAGACAGAUAAAGGAACAAGACAAAAGCCCAGAAAAACAGGUAAGUGAAGUGGAGACAAGCAACUUACAUGAAAAAUACUUUAGAGUAAUGAUAGUAAAGAAAAUCCAAGAUUAGAAAAAAAACUGGAGGUAAAGAUUGAUGAAUUACAAGAAAUGUUUAACAAAUACAUAGAAGAUUUAAAGAUUAAACAAGCAGAGAUGAAAAACGCAAUAACAAAAUAAGAAAUUCAUUUAAGGAACUAAUAGCAGAAUACAGGAGGCAGAAGAAUGGACAACCAUGGUAGAAGACAGACUGGUGGAAAUAACUGAUAUG